rnacentral:rRNA from 1 species
AGUGAACGCUGGCGGUAGGCCUAACACAUGCAAGUCGAACGGCAGCACAGUAAGAGCUUGCUCUUACGGGUGGCGAGUGGCGGACGGGUGAGGAAUACAUCGGGAUCUACUUUUUCGUGGGGGAUAACGUAGGGAAACUUACGCUAAUACCGCAUACGACCUACGGGUGAAAGCAGGGGAUCUUCGGACCUUGCGCGAUUGAAUGAGCCGAUGUCGGAUUAGCUAGUUGGCGGGGUAAAGGCCCACCAAGGCGACGAUCCGUAGCUGGUCUGAGAGGAUGAUCAGCCACACUGGAACUGAGACACGGUCCAGACUCCUACGGGAGGCAGCAGUGGGGAAUAUUGGACAAUGGGCGCAAGCCUGAUCCAGCCAUACCGCGUGGGUGAAGAAGGCCUUCGGGUUGUAAAGCCCUUUUGUUGGGAAAGAAAAGCAGCAGGUUAAUACCCCGCUGUUCUGACGGUACUCAAAGAAUAAGCACCGGCUAACUUCGUG